UCCCAUAUGGUCUAGCGGUUAGGAUUUCUGGUUUUCACCCAGAGUGUCAGGGUUCUACUCCCGGUACGGGAA
rfam:Nematostella vectensis strain CH2 x CH6 NEMVEscaffold_224_Cont19619, whole genome shotgun sequence.